UAAUUGAAGAGUUUGAUCAUGGCUCAGAUUGAACGCUGGCGGCAGGCCUAACACAUGCAAGUCGAGCGGCAGCACAAGGGAGUUUACUCCUGAGGUGGCGAGCGGCGGACGGGUGA
rnacentral:rRNA from 1 species